GUUCUAGGGCAGCGCGUGAGCGCUGCCCUCCGAAGGCAGAGGUCACAGGUUCGAAUCCUGUCCGGUGCGCCA
rnacentral:tRNA from 1 species